rnacentral:tRNA from 1 species
GGCGAUUUAGUGUAGGGGUCUAGCACGCCACCCUCUCAAGGUGGAGACUCGGGUUCGAAUCCCGAAUUCGCUA